CCUGUGUUAGGGUUACCUGGGGCGUAGGGACCCUGAGUUAGGGUUACCUGGGGCGUAGGGGCCCUGUGUUAGGGUUACCUGGGGCGUAGGGGCCCUGUGUUAGGGUUACCUGGGGCGUAGGGGCCCUGUGUUAAGGUUACCUGGGGCGUAGGGGCCCUGUGUUAGGGUUACCUGGGGAGUAGGGGCCCUGUGUUAGGGUUACCUGGGGCGUAGGGGCCCUGUGUUAGGGUUACCUGGG